rnacentral:lncRNA from 1 species
GCCCCUUCAACCAGAUCACUUCCGCUGAAAGUUUGCAUCUCCCAGUAUCAGUGUUGGGGAAGCCAAAUGAAAUCUAUCAAUCCCAGUUCAGAAUGUAAAGAAACUGAAGAUCCUCUUUCCCCAUAUGGAUUAUUAUAUCAUCAUAGCAUUUGGAGAAGCCAAGAUCAACAAAAAAGCAGUUAGCAGUGAGAGAAGCUGCAGCCUGUUGAGACUCCACAAGACUGAAGAUAUGAAAAGAGGAAAUAUGCAUGAAUGCCCGCACGGAGAACCACCCCCACCUGCUGCUCCCGCUCUAAUGAUCACGCCCAUUAUCAACUGGGGGAUGGCUCUGUGCCUUGUCCUUGCAUUACAUGGACCAAGAACACUUCACAGGACUCAGAGAGGCAAAAAUAGAUACAAAAGAAGAAGGAAUUACAGAAGAAGUCACAUAACAUUAUUGCCUACAACUGACUGUUUACCUUGAAUACUUGAAGACCAGAAUGAAGAUUCUUGGGGUGAAGAAUUACAGCCUUAGCAUGGAGCAGGCCUCGGUGCAUCGGCUUUCAGCUAGGCAUGCCUGCCAAUGUUCAACGUCCUCCUGGGAUACGGAAGGCACCGUGAUAGACAUCUGGGCAAGUCAACAGGAAGGUGGAUAUCCAAAUCUCUCUCUUCGCAAUGAGUUUCCAGUUAGAUGGAGGAGAGAGUAAUAAAACACAGAGCUGAGAUUCCUGACUUCACAGAUCCCUGAGGAGAUGUUUACUAAAGGGAAUCUUCUGGUCACUGUUACCUUCCUCCGUACUUACCUGCCUCAUGGAGAACCCGAAAGGAAGAAGCUAUACGACUGGGGACACAUGUCUUAGAAGCACACUCAUUAGAUAAAGUGUCGCAUACUCUUUGAUAAGGUAAGGCUCCCUGGACGAGAUGUUUUACAGGUACCAUGAGCUCAGUGAAUUGCUUUUGGAAAGACACUCAGCGGAGUGGGCACCACGAGGUUAGGAGAAGCAGCUUCUGCUCGUCAUAACUUUGGCAAAUGUUUACACAUCAGUAAUGAAAAAUAUUCUCUUGGCGAUUUCAGGCUUGUUACUAUGGAUGUUGUUUGCUAACAUUGACUAUUUUUCCUAACUGCUUAUAGAAACUCCAGGCUGUCACCCAUCUGUUCUCUCAUCAAAGUAGUUUUGGGCCAGCAACUAUUUCAGACAUUUCUACAGUUUCAGAUGUCUCACUCUGCCUAUGACUGUAUGUUGUACUUGAGGACUGGACGCACAGGGUAAAGUGCAAAUAGCAAGCAUUCAGGUCCAACUCUCCUCCUUCUGGUUAACAAUAUGAAAGAAAGAGGUAGUAUCGGAAUUAUUUUAGUUCAAUGUAGCCAU